UACGAAGGGUGCAAGCGUUACUCGGAAUUACUGGGCGUAAAGAGCGCGCAGGCGGUCGUUCAAGUCGAGUGUGAAAGCCCCCGGCUCAACUGGGGAGGGUCACUCGAUACUGAUCGACUCGAAGGCAGGAGAGGGAAGUGGAAUUCCCGGUGUAGUGGUGAAAUGCGUAGAUAUCGGGAGGAACACCAGUGGCGAAGGCGACUUCCUGGCCUGUUCUUGACGCUGAGGCGCGAAAGCUAGGGGAGUAAACGGG
rnacentral:rRNA from 1 species